rnacentral:rRNA from 1 species
ACGCUGGCGGCGUGCCUAAUACAUGCAAGUCGAACGGCUUUUUCUAUGGAAGCUUGCUUCCACUGAGAAGAUAGUGGCGAACGGGUGAGUAACACGUGGGUAACCUGCCCAUAAGAGGGGGAUAACAUCCGGAAACGGGUGCUAAUACCGCAUAGUUUUUCUUGAUCGCAUGAUUGAGAAAGGAAAGACGGCCUUUGUGCUGUCGCUUAUGGAUGGACCCGCGGCGUAUUAGUUAGUUGGUGAGGUAACGGCUCACCAAGACGAUGAUACGUAGCCGACCUGAGAGGGUGAUCGGCCACAUUGGGACUGAGACACGGCCCAAACUCCUACGGGAGGCAGCAGUAGGGAAUCUUCCGCAAUGGACGAAAGUCUGACGGAGCAACGCCGCGUGAGUGAAGAAAGGUUUUCGGAUCGUAAAACUCUGUUGUCAGAGAAGAACAAGUUGGAGAGUAACUGCUCCAGCCUUGACGGUAUCUGACCAGAAAGCCACGGCUAACUACGUGCCAGCAGCCGC